ensembl:lncRNA
GCAUGGUGGGGAUGGGUGGACUUGGUGAUCUUGGAGGUCUCUUCCAACCUUAAUGAUUCAGCGAUCUUCUGUUACCCCAUUUUUCACCCAUACUAAGCUUGUUGGCAGCCCCACCACCUGCCCUUGCUCUCUUCUUACAACUCAGUCUUCAAGAGCCUCAUAAAAGUACAGGGACCUCAGCUUGCUGCUUAAAGCUGAUAUGUAUAGCUAUUAUGGGUGUGUAACCACUAAGUGUAUUGCAUUUCUAACUAGAAGUCAAGUGAAAAGCACUCAAAUGUUACUUGUUACAUGACAAGUUGUUUUUUGGGGGGGUGGUUUUUUUUUUAUCUGUCUGUUUUUUAAAUAACACUGCUUAUUGAUAAUUUUUGGUGUGUUUCAACUGUUGCUUUGGAGUUGUAAUAUAUGUACGUAUGGACGUAUAUUAGAGGGUCCCUACAGGGCAAGCUUUUAUCUCCUUGCAGACAUCUGCUAGGGCACCCAGCCCUGUGUUAACACAGCAUUCACCAGGUCUGCAGAUCCCUGCCUCCCACCUUUAGACAGUGCCCUGCUCUUUGGGAUGUACACGAGGCUUUUUGCUUAGGGCUGUUUUGUUGAAGUGUUUCCAUGACACAGCCCUGAGCUCUGCUCUCAGUGUGACUAAAUGCAAACAAGGGGAGGAGAUGGGCUGGGGAUAAACCCUUGUCUCUGCAUCUCUCUGCAAGCUGUGAGCAUUGACGUCAGCCGAGCAGCGCCGCUCCCCAUCUGCCCAGGAUCCAGCCUAUUAGAGGGGCAGCAAUGGGUAAAAAUGAAUUCCUGGAGUAGACAGAACCCUCUGCAAAUGUGUGCAGAUGAACCUGGGGAUCUCUCCCCAGCCUGUGACAGUAGCACCUCCAACCGCGUGCUCCUGUUGUGUGCCAUUAUCUCCUGUUUCCUUAACCUAGAGCUCUCUCUUUUCUUUUUCCUGAGUGCAGCAGGCACCUCAAUCAUCUGUUACGUGGCUUUGAUCCAGCAAUUGGAGACGUGCUGUGGAGUAAUCCUCAGAAAACCUGGGGUAAUGGGAUGGGGAGAGGACACAGUGCUACAUUAAUAUUACAUAUUAAUAUUACUACGUAUGAUCUCCACUUUCCUUUCACAUUUGAGGGCCCAACCAACCAGCACAAAGCAACAGUUGAAGAAGUAGAAAAGGUGCACUUUGGAAACAUCAUUAAUGGCACGGGAAGGCUUGUGGGCCGGUGUAUGAGGCCAGGAGGAGAUGGCACAAAGGGAGAUCCCAUGAGCAGCUGAGAGAAUUCGGACAGAUGUGUGAAGCUGAGGUGGGUGCGUUCCUCCCUGACCCAUGCUGUAUCCCUUAAGCCAUCUCAACUGCUCCUUAGAAGCAGUGAUCAUUAAACAUUUGCCAAGUUGAUUUUGCUCUGCAUCUCUGAAUGUGAAGAUUUCACACUGUUGUGCAAGGUUCUCAUGGUGUUGCAUGAAGUGGGGGAAAGGAUAUGAGAAUGCUGGUAGAGUCCAUGAGACAGAGUCAUCAUCUUCAAGGUGACGACGAUACGGAUUUCUGAGGACACUGGGAGCUGAACAGCAAGAUCAUCAAAGCAAUUGUAACGUUUAUGGCCUCUCAAUUCUCCAGGAGUAUAUGGAGGUACAGACACAGUGCUAUUACCUUGGGGAAACCAUUAAAGGUUGCUUCGUGCUAUGCUAAGGACUUUUAUUCAUCAAGAGUAAUUACCUCUAUCUUGAUAAGAAGUGAGAAGAUGACAGUAAGAACUACUGCGUCACCAAUCUCCAAGUAAUGCUCGUAGAGAGGUGAUGGUGGCAGCAGCAUCACUACCUCAGCUGGAAUGAGAGCUCCAGAAUUAUUGUGGGCAUAUCCCAAGGUUUCAGCUAGCAAGAACCCUGGUGGUUCUACCUGGCAUUGUCUACUCCAUUGGACUCCCAGAAGCUGCUCUGCCAUCUGUCCGUACCCUGAAUAUCAUCAGCCUGUUAUAAGCACAAGUCAGAGCGACUACAAAGAAGAAACGAAGGAAGAAAUGCAUCUGGGCUUGUAUCCAAUUGGAUUACUGUCAACCUCAUCCAGCUGAGAAGGGAAAAGACAGAUGUACUGAUGGUCACCGAAAUGAGAUGGAACAAAAGACAACAACCUGAGCAGAGACGAAAAGCAGUCAAGACCAAAGGUUUCUUCGACUCCAAACCACAGCCACGUCUCCAUCAUACAGACCAUCCUUUGCAACUUCAGCUUGUGUCAAACAUCCCCUUUGGCAAAACAGCUCUUGCAAUGGAGCUAUCUCCACGUGUCUGCCUUCCACCACCCACGAGACACUGACCUCCAUCGGUCCCCAGCCCUGCCCCGCACUGAUGAGUGCAGAGAUGCUAUGGUAUGAAGCGCAGAUAUCUAGCACCAAGAUUGGACAUCUUUCUUGCCUGCUCUUCCAAAUGUGCUUUCCUGGGGUCCAGGAGUCAGGAUUGACAACUUAUGGAAAGUGUAAAUCUCCCUCUGGUGUUCUAUGUACAGCUUCCUCACUGUGGGAAUCAACCAAGGAUUGACAUUGACCAUCCUCCUCAUUGUGGAAGUCAACCAAGAAUUUACACUGGCCAUCAUCCCCACUGUGGGAGUCAACCAAGGAUUGACAAUGACCAUCUUCCUCACUGUGGGAAUCAACCGAGGGUUGACACUGGACAUCCUCCUCACCAUCGGAAUCAAUCAAGGAUUAAUAUUGGCCAUCAUCUUCAUCAUGGGAGUCAAUUAAGGACUGACACUGACCAUCCUCCUCACCAUGGGAAUCAACGAAGGAUUGACAUUGGCCAUCCCACAGGAAGAGUCCUUGAUGAAAUCUCAUCACUCAGUGCCCCUUGGUACGAGUGUGGGCUGGAGCAGAGCUGGCAGAGGCCAGGAGGGGACUGGAGCUGCUAAGAAGCAAGCAAUUGCAUGGAUGAGGUGCUGGGCAAACCCAUGGGUUCCCAUGGUCUUCAGUGGAGCCCAUUGGAGCAGUCUGGGCUGUAGCAGAAGGACCUAUUCCCAUUCUCUGCUGCACUGCAAAGAUCGAGCUGGCAUGGUUUAUCUCAGUGCAGAAACAGCUGGCAGAUAGACAUGGACCCAACUGUUUAGAUGGGAAUGCCUUGCUGUCAGGUCGUGUUACUGGUUCAAACAGAAAGGCACUGCGCAGCCAGAGCCAGGCAUAUAUAACUGACAAAAAAAAAGAAGGUGAAAGCUGCUCUGGGCUCAUCAAUAACCUUCCGCACAUCCUUGCCUGUGCUCUGAGUUGAGAAAACACAGCAAUGAUCAGCACUCGGGUCAGGAUUUCGUGAGCUGUCCAAGGAGAAUUUACUCUAGCUCCUUCCUGACAGGAGACAGAGGUAUAAAAAACAAUGCAGUGACUUCUGUUCAAGCAAUAGCUGUGUAAAAUAUUGUUCAUCAGAGCUGUAAAGGUUAGCUCAGCAGAGAAAUAAGGUCUGCAGCUUUUGGCUUUGUAUCCCUUUGGGCAAUCCAUUUGUGAGUUUGUUGAAGGCAAGGAGAAAGAUCCAGUGAUUGGAAAGGGGCUGCACUCACCCCGGCUCAGUCUCUGAAUUAAGCAUCUUCUAUUUUUCCAUUGGCUUUGGAGUGCUUCCAGUCAAUACAGGUCUCACUCGCAGCAUCUCCCCUCACUGGAAGCUCAGCACGGCGUCAGCAUCAACCAAUUCAAGCUAUCCACAAGCAGAGGGGUGAGUGGUUCCCAUAGAACUGGCUCAGCCACGCUUGGUAUUCAGACUCACACAAAGGGUUGGAGAGAAAACAUUGCUUUUUCAGCAUGUCCAGUCUGAUGGCCUACCUCAUCAUCCACCUGAACACAGAAAUGUUCCCGUUUCAAUUGGAGGUCACUUGGAACAGACACAACCCCAUGGGAAGCAUAGCUCCAGCAUCACCUCCUCCCUUGGACAAGGUGACCAAGGGGCCUUCCAGGGGAUCUCAGCUCACUUCCAGGCUCAGGGCCUACCUCUGCUGACCCUUUGCUUCCUCCCACCUCUCGCGGUGUGUACGUGCCAUCUGCUGGCAAGCUGCAGGAAGGAGAAUGCGCUCAAAACGCCUUUUGCUACGACAGAGCAAAGCAGAGGGGUUGGAGGAGCAGCCAGGUUAAAUUUGGCCAUAUGCACCAAACCUGCACAGCCUACAUCUCAUCUCCCAUCAUAAGAGUUAGUUCCUUACCAGCACGGCUGGUGGUCAACACAUUGCCAUGAGGCUGUUUUCUGCUGGAAGCAGCGAUUUCCCUCUGUUGAGCAUUCUGAUUUCUUGUUGUGAGAGCAGAAAACUCAGAAGCUGCAAGGUCCAGCGUUCAAAACUGCCCUUGUCUUUCAGUUGUGGUUUUAUCCACCUCGUAUUUUCCCAUUCUUUCCUCAUUUCCCCCUUCGCCACUCCCCAUUCCUGCAGUGCAGUGCGGUGAUGGUUCCAUCCAAAAUGAUGCAUGUAGAUUUACAUGCGUUGGGUGUUUUUUUUUUUAGUGCACAAAGUUGGUUGGCAGCACCCAAGUGUGAGCUGCCUUUCUGAAGAUGCAGCAAGAGAAAACAGAGCGAAAUGCAGGAGAUGAUUUUCCAUUUGGUAUCGAGCAGGGAGAAGGCACGUAAAGAGACCCCCACAUAGAGCAGCCGUGCAAGGCCAUGCAUCACUUAUGCCUUGCUUACAGGUAUUAAAUAAGACUUCACUAGAACACAGCUCUGGUGCUGACCCUCUGCAGAUGGGUGAAUUGCACCCUAAAGCAAAUAUAGGGAACUUGUAUUAUUCAACAGCUGCUGCUAAUAGGGUUACUGCAGGCGGAGAUGUUGCCUGUCUCGACUGAGGAGCAGACGCUGGCCUCGGUGACUCCUGUUUGCAUAAUUAUACUGUAAAUUCUGUCCCGCUGUGUCUGUAUAAUUACGUUUUUAAAUAAGAAAAAAAAAGUAUUUAUAUACGUGUGGAGCUUUUUUUUUUCCCACCCAAAGCUUUCAUGGCCAGAUUUUCAAGUAUUUAGAAUUAGGUGUGAUUGCAAAAAAAAAACAAUAACAGAAAAGAAACCAAGGAGUGAUUGGUAUGCAUUUCGUUGGCUAGCAGAAGGAAACCUGCUCCGCUGAAGGCAUUUAGAUGGGAUGCAGCACUCUCCUUCCCUACCAGGGGAAGCCAGCUUUUGUCAUCUACACUGGGAAGGAGAAGGAUAGAAUCUCUGGACCAGCUGGUUUUAAGGUGAGAAGCUUGCAGUAACUGAGGUUGAAAAGAGGUCUUUGGAAGAUCUUCAGAGCCCGGCGCUGCUUGGCUUCCUGCUUUUAUUGAUGACUUCGGGCAUCAAAACAGUAAUGAAGAUUCCAACAGAAAAUAUCUGAUAAAAAUAAAACUCAGGAGAAACUGUGAGCACAAAGGAGAUGGAUGCUUAAGAUCCAACCCAAACCAUUCUCUCCCAUACUCUUCCACUCUACUCUACCGUACUCCGCUCCAUCCUAUUCUACUCCACUCUGCUCUACUCACUCUACUCUGUUCUAUUCUACUCUACUCUUCUCCAUUCUACUCUACUCUACUCUACUCCAUUCUAUCCUACAUUACUCUAUUCAAUUCUACCCUACUCUACUCCAUUCUAUCCUACAUUACUCAAUUCUACCCUACUCUACUCCCUUCUAUUCUACCUACUCCAUUCUACUCUGCUCUACUGUACUCUACACUACUCCAUUCUAUUCUGCUUUACUGUACACCAUUCUACUCCAUUCUAUUCUACUCUACUCCAUUCUACUCCACUCUACUCCAUUCUAUUCUACUGUACACCAUUCUACUCUACUCCAUUCUACUCUACUCCAUUCUAUUCCACUCUACUCCAUUCUAUUCUACUUUACUCUACUCUACUCCACUCUACCAUACUCUGCUGUACUCUACUCUACUCCAUUCUAUUCCAUGAGUAGCAUUACAAACCUGAAAGUGACGAAAAGGGGUAUAAAUUUGAUAGCUCUCUAUACAAUUUGGGUUUGCUUGACAGGUUCUCAGCAGUUGGAAAUGACUGGCAAGAAAAAAGUUUCCAAAUGGGUCACGGGAGAAAGCAAAAACUACGCAGCCGUGGGGCCACGGUGAAAUCAGCAAAAUGAAGGGGGUCAGACUGGAGAUGAACCUGAAUUAUUUUGCUUCAUUGCAGCAGAACAUCUCACAGUGCCUCUCCUCAAUGGCUGCAUCCCAACGACACCCACCUCCUAUUCCCAGGUGAGGAAAACCAAACCAUCCCAUCCUGCACUCCUGCUGCCUGCUUUCCUUCAAGGACUGGAGCAACUGGCAGGGAAAAACUGCGUCCUGCAUUAAUGUCAGCGUCUGCAACUGCAAAAGCAGUUCUCUGCAGCCCUCUAGUGCUCAUUGCAUGCAAACGAAAAACAGAGCUUGCAACAGCCAUGGGGAAAUGGGGCCAGGGCAGCUCGGGCUCACUGUAACUUAGAAUAGAGGCUUUUAUUUGCUAGCAGGACACAGUACCAGCUGUUAUGUACCCAAACAGUUGUAAUGUGUAGGCAGGCUCUGCUCCCCAGGCUGCAUUCCCACCAGAAGCAGCACUGGUGCACAGCAGAACGCGCCAGCCGAGCAAAGGGCACGCAGGUUCUGCAGCACCGACAUCUGCUACAGAAAUGAUGUGACAGCUUCGUCCCAUAGAGCAUCGCCAGGAACGUUCAUCAGAAGUCCCCUUCCCAUCAGUAUUCCUUCUCUCCCUGCCCCUGUGCACGCCUUCAGCCUCCCUUUCUGCAGUGCUACCCAACGGAGGGCCCGAAUUAUGCAGGAAGGCCCCUUUGGAGGAGCAGAGGAGGGAAAGGUGGUGAUGUAUCGUUCCCUUUCCUGGCAGCUUUUUGCCUAUUCGUAUUCAGAUCGUGCUGCAUUACCUCAGUGAUAAAGAUGCACGUGGAGUUGGGAGACCUUCUUCGUGUUUCACUUGGGCCCGAAGUACCCCAUGAUUCAUUAAAAAAAAGAAAACCAACCCUUCUGCCAAAUAACAGAUACCCAAAAUUGCCAGUUAAUUAAACGGAAUACGCUUGCUUUCCGUGCUCCUGAUAAAACCCUGAAACCCAAGCUCUUCUUCCAAAUGGAUUUCUCCCACAAAUCCCCACUUCAACCACAGAAGCUGUCGUCUGUCUGCACGCGAAAUCUUGCUUUACCACCUCUCCUGUCCGUACAGAGACGCCCUGAACAACCUUGUCAUUUCCAUUUCUCAUGCAUUCUCAGUGCUCUGCGUUCUCAGGGUCUGGGAGGUUUCAUUUUCCCAUUGCCAGAGGCUGCUCGUCCCUAUCAGGGCUCACUCCGCCACAUCAAAGGCAGCAGGGAUACAUCAGAGGGAGCAGGAGGGCUGCAGUCCCCUCCGGGGGGGGACCACAGGGAUGCUGCAUGCUCUGAAGCAUCCUAGAGCUUCUGGAAGCAGGUCUGGAUCAGCAAAGCUCCGUUGAGGCUGUGAGAAUCAACGGAGCCCAACCAGCCGAGAUGGUUUGUGAUCCUAAUCUGCAUCUGAGCAUCACUGUGGAGUGAAGCCCUUGUCAAGGUGCCAUCAUGGAAUGGUUUGGGUCAGAAGUGAGACUCAGAGGUCACGGAACCCAUCUCCUCUGCAGUGAACUGGGACACCCACAGCUCAACCCAAGUGCUCAAAGCCUGCUCCAGCCUGGCCUAUAGGAUGAUGCUUUCCUACCUACAAUGUUAGAUAUCUUCUUUUCCUGACCCAUAAGGUGAUGCUUUCCAAAGUCACCCCUCUUCCAGACAGCAGCAGAGAGACAGCCACGUGGUGACAGCCUUCACAGUCUUUGCAGCAUCACAUCUUUGCCCUGGGAGGUGGUGGAGUCACCAUCCCUGGAGGUGUUCAAGAAACAUUCAGGUGUUGAUGACCCUUGAGGUCCCUUCCAACCCAAGCCACUCUGUGUUGUACUGAGGGACGUGGCUUAGUGGGAAAUACGGGCGGUAGGUGGGCAGUUGGACUAAAUGUUCUUGGAGGUCCUUUCCAACAUUGGUGACCCUAUGAUUCCAUCACUGUGUUCCCAUCACAUUACCCAUCACAUUACAGAAAAUGGACACGGGACAACCAGGGAUGCUAAAAAGCUCUGGUUUCCCAAAUGGCAGUGGUUUGUCCCUCAGGUAACCCAAACCCCAGCACUGGGAGGUGGCUUCCACUUGGCUCCAGCCCUACCCAAAGCCUUUAGUUCACCUCCUGUGCCCAAACCUAAGACAGGAAGGAGCCGUGGCACCAGGCUGCACCCCAGAAGAGGGCUGGCAUUCACACGAAGCCAUCUCAAGAGGAGGAAAAUGAAGAUGCAGACGCUCCAAAGGGAGGUCUGUCAGAGCCCAGGGGUUCAGGCUGCUUAACGAAGCAACGCUGGCUGCCAAAGCAGAAUUUCCAACUCUAUGUUUUUCCCAGCUGUGUUUUUCCAGUGCCUACUGCAGGCAGCAGCGUUUCCCUUUGGUGUAAAGCAGGACGAUGAGGGGGGGUUGCUUUGAAACCUUUUGCUUGCAUAGGAAAUGAACUUCUUGAUUCCUGUUGACAUUUGCAGCAAGGUGUAGGUGGCGCUUGUAGCAUUUCUCAGAGCUCCCCGGCUCUGUUUGUUCAGAUCCUUCUCACUCCUGUGAAAUGCGAUAAUACCGAGCGGUGGGUGGAAGGAACAGCGCAAACGGAGCCCUUCAGGAGACAGAAGGGCUCAGAACUGCUCUGCACUGGAAGACAACUCCUUCUGCUCCCAACCACCGACACCAGACCCAACCCCAUCCCUGCAGCUUGUCCCUGGGGGUCGCAGUUCUGCUCUGACCCUGCAGCUAUGGAGAUGGUCCAUUCCUCAUCCCAAUGCUUAAAGAAGCACGGGCAGCUCUUCUCCAUCCUGGUCUCAUCCUUUUGGGACUUUUCUCGGUGGGGUUUCACUUUCCAGGACUAAAAACAACCUGCUGCAGCAGGGAAAUGGGAGAGAGCUGCCCUGACGCCUUCUUGGAAUCAUUCUGCACAGCACUGAUGUGCUCCUUAAUAAAGUGUUGUAAGAGCCUGUGUCACCAAGCAGCCCAAGAGCUGCAAAGCCCAAGUCGCCUGAACUCAUUCAGGUUCCUUCUUGCAACCUCACAAGCCUCAAAUCACGGCAGCCAUUCUCAUAUCUCCUCUUCUGCCCUGGCAGUGGGAAAGGAGCAGAUUUGUGAAGGCUGUAAUAGGGGAUGAAGGGCUCACCCUCCUGUGAGAUGUGGGAUAAUGACACAUCUUGCUGGAUGGGGUGACCAUGGGGUCCUGCUGUGUGGGUGCUCAGGUUUUGUUGGGCAGGGUGGAUAUGGGGUCGUGCACUGUGGGUGCUCAGGUUCUGCAGGGUGGGGUGGAUAUGGGGUCGUGCACUGUGGGUGCUCAGGUUGUGUUGGGUGGGGUGGAUAUGGGGUCGUGCACUGUGGGUGCUCAGGUUGUGUUGGGUGGGGUGGAUAUGGGGUCGUGCAGUGUGGGUGCUCAGGUUGUGUUGGGUGGGGUGGAUAUGGGGUCCUGCUGUGUGGGUGCUCAGGUUGUGUUGGGUGGGGUGGGUAUGGGGUCGUGCAGUGUGGGUGCUCAGGUUGUGUUGGGUGGGUGGAUAUGGGGUCGUGCAGUGUGGGUGCUCAGGUUGUGCUGGGUGGGGUGGGUAUGGGGUCCUGCAGUUUGGUGCUCAGCUCAUUGCCCUGAAUGCAUGGCAUAAACCGUUUUCUCCCCAAUUGGAAAUCCCUGCAAGGGGAAAGCACUGCAGCAGAGGGUUGAAGGGAAAGCAGUGAGCUGCUGCGUGUGAACGAAGCAUGCAGAGCUCCGCCCCAGCUGUGCAUUAGGGCUGAUUAACAUCAAACCGGGACCUUAUCGCAGCCGGAUCGUUGGGGCUGAUUGGCGACUGAUCGCCCAUUGAAUGAGGAGGAGCGUGUCCGGGUUCUCGGGGGUGAUCUGCGAGAACAGCAGAAAGCAAUUAAGGAAGGAAAGCUGCGAUGGUUAUCGGGGAAGUGGGGCAGGGUGAAAGGCAGUCCUGAUGCGAUUGGGAUGGGAAUCCUGCAGGGAGAGUGUUGGCUAAAGGGGGAACCCCUUCUUACUUCUGGGUUUCCUCCCAUCUCCAAGCCCUCGUGCACCCCCGGCCAUCCAUAGGCCUAUAGGGAUGGAUUCUCACUCGUUUGAAGCACUGGGAGGGCACGUUUUGAUGGUUGUAGGGCAGUUUUCAUUCGCAAAGAGCCCAGAAUUGGGGAAGUCGGAACGAAGGGCACAACCUGAGCAUGGCACCAAAGUGGGCUUCGCUUCUGCGUGCUGACCGGCGCUGCAGUUUUGGGCCAAAAGGUGCUGCUUUUGUGACAGCCAGAACUAAAGAGCCUGAAAUCUCCCCCCGUGGCCUUUCUGUUGUUUGCAGUUCAGCUGCUGAACCACGAAUCCCUACCACAGUGCCCAAAUGCACCCCACGGAUGGAGAUGGGAGACGGGGUUCGGCCACCCCUGCGCCCCACAGCCCUGCAGAGGUGGGAUGGGACGAAGGAGCCGAGCGAUCCGCAGCCCGACGGGGAGGUGAGAGGGGAUGUAAAGGACAGG